AAAGAAAACACAAAUAUGGCUACAUCGGUCAAAAGGGCAUUGGCUUCAAAUCGGUUUUUAAAGUCACCGACUGUCCUGAGAUCCACUCCAAUGGUUUCCACAUCCGAUUUGACAAGAACAGCGGCCCCAUGGGAUACAUCCUGCCUCACUGGGUCGAGCAGGAGCGGGCAGUGAGCGCUGGCCCCAGAGAGAUCGCAGAGCAGAGAUGGGCUACAAAGAUCCACCUGCCCCUGGCGCUCCGAGAGCUACCAGACUAAAAACCUCUUCCAUGGCGUUCAUCCC